AACGAACGCUGGCGGCAGGCUUAACACAUGCAAGUCGAGCGCCCCGCAAGGGGAGCGGCAGACGGGUGAGUAACGCGUGGGAAUCUACCCAUCUCUACGGAAUAACGCAUGGAAACGUGUGCUAAUACCGUAUACGUCCUUCGGGAGGAAGAUUUAUCGGAGAUGGAUGAGCCCGCGUUGGAUUAGCUAGUUGGUGGGGUAAAGGCCUACCAAGGCGACGAUCCAUAGCUGGUCUGAGAGGAUGAUCAGCCACACUGGGACUGAGACACGGCCCAGACUCCUACGGGAGGCAGCAGUGGGGAAUAUUGGACAAUGGGCGCAAGCCUGAUCCAGCCAUGCCGCGUGAGUGAUGAAGGCCCUAGGGUUGUAAAGCUCCUUCGCCGGUGAAGAUAAUGACGGUAACCGGAGAAGAAGCCCCGGCUAACUUCGUGCCAGCCGCCGCGGUAAUAC
rnacentral:rRNA from 1 species